rnacentral:rRNA from 1 species
UACGUAGGGGGCAAGCGUUGUCCGGAAUCAUUGGGCGUAAAGAGCGUGUAGGCGGCCAGAAAAGUCCGCUGUGAAAACUCGAGGCUCAACUUCGAGCUGUCGGUGGAAACUUUCUGGCUAGAGUCCGGAAGAGGAGAAUGGAAUUCCUGGUGUAGCGGUGAAAUGCGCAGAUAUCAGGAGGAACACCUGUGGCGAAAGCGGCUCACUGGACCAUAACUGACGCUGAUGCACGAAAGCUAGGGGAGCAAACAGG